GGUUCGAUUAUGGCUCAGAUUGAACGCUGGCGGGAUGCUUUACACAUGCAAGUCGAACGGCAGCACGGACUUCGGUCUGGUGGCGAGUGGCGAACGGGUGAGUAAUGUAUCGGAACGUGCCUAGUAGCGGGGGAUAACUACGCGAAAGCGUAGCUAAUACCGUAUACGCCCUUCGGGGGAAAGCGGGGGACCCGGCCUCGCACUAUUAGAGCGGCCGAUAUCGGAUUAGCGGUUAUGGGGUAACGGCUCACCAAGGCGACGAUCCGUAGCUGGUUUGAGAGGACGACCAGCCACACUGGGACUGGAGACACGGCCCGUGACUUACGGGAGGCAGCAGUGGGGAAUUUUGACAAUGGGGAAACCCUGAUCCAGCCAUCCUGCGUGUGCGAUGACAAGGCCUCGGGUUACCUUGCAGGAAGAACGAAAUAGAUACAUUACCCUGUGCAACUGACGGUACCUGCAGAAUAAGCACCGGCUAACUACGUGCCAGCAGCCGCGGUAAUACGUAGGGUGCAAGCGUUAAUCGGAAUUACUGGCGUAAGCGUGCGCAGGCGGUUCGGAAAGAAAGAUGUGAAAUCCCAGAGCUUAACUUUGGAACUGCAUUUUUAACUACCGAGCUAGAGUGUGUCAGAGGGAGGUGGAAUUCCGCGUGUAGCAGGGAAAUGCGUAGAUAUGCGGAGGAACACCGAUGGCGAAGGAAACCCUCCUGGGGGAUAACACUGACGCUCAUGCACGAAAGCGUGGGGAGCAAACAGGGAUUAGAUACCCUGGUAGUCCACGCCCUAAACGAUGUCAACUAGCUGUUGGCCUUCGGGCCUUGGUAGCAUAACGCGUGAAGUUGACCGCCUGGGGAGUACGGUCGCAAGAUUAAAACUCAAAGGAAUUGACGGGGACCGCACAAGCGGUGGAUGAUGUGGAUUAAUUCGAUGCAACGCGAAAAACCUUACCUACCCUUGACAUGUCUGGAAUCCCGGGAAGAGAUUUUGGGAGUGCUCGCAAGCGAAUCAACACAGGUGCUGCAUGGCUAUACGUCAGCUCGUGUCGUGAGAUGUUGGGUUAAGUCCCGCAACGCAACCUUGUCAUUAGUUGCUACGAAAGGGCACUCUAGAUCGCCGGUGACAAACCGAGGAAGUGGGGAUGACGUCAAGUCCCCAUGGCCCUUAUGGUAGGGCUUCACACGUCAUACAAUGGUCGGGACAGAGGGUCGCCAACCCGCGAGGGGAGCCAAUCCCAGAAACCCGAUCGUAGUCCGGAUCGCAGUCUGCAACUCGACUGCGUGAAGUCGGAACUGCUUUACAAUCGCGGAUCAGCAAUGUCGCGGUGAAUACGUUCCCGGGUCUUGUACACAAUUCCCGCUCGUCACACCAUGGGAGUGCCUACCAGAAGUAAUAGGCCUUAACCGUAAGGAGGGCGAUUACCAAUGGCGGAGGAUUCAUGAUCAGGGUGAAGUCGUAACAAGGUAG
rnacentral:rRNA from 1 species